AGCCGCUUAGCGACUCUCGCGUUGCCCCCUGGGUGGGGCGGGUAGGUGUGGAAACAGGAAGAGAACUAGAACUGGAAGUAAAGCAUUGAAGAUGUGACUGAAUUGCUGCAAUCUCAUGAUCAAAUUUGAAUGGAUGAGGAGUUGCUUUUUAGGGAUGAGCAAAGAAAGUGGUUUCUCGAGAUGGAAUCUACUGGUGAAGUUGCUGUGAACAUUGUUAAAAUGCCAAUAAAGGAUUUAGGAAUUACAGAAACCUGGUUGAUAAAGCAGUGCCAGGGUGUGAGAGAGUUGACUUCAAUUUUGAAAUAAGUUCCACUGGCUGGGUGUGGUGGCUCACACCUGCAAUCCCAGUACUUUAGGAGGCCGAGACUGGUAGAUCAUUUGAGGUCAGGAGUUCAAGACCAGCCUUGCCAACAUGGUGAAACCCCACCUCUACCAAAUUAGCCAGGUUGCUCCUUGAGGGCAGGACAGUUCUUAUGGCUUUAUCCGUUGCGUAAGCACAGAGAGGUCUGCGAGGUCAAAACUAUUGUCAUGAUAGCAAGAUGCCUGUCUUUUUCAUUUAUUCUCACGGUGUGCAGAGGCUACAUGAUGUGUGAUGACAUCCUCAUUGAUGUUAAUGAAUGGUGCUAUACUUGAAUUUUCUAAGGUGUCAUUAGAUGAGGUCUUGCUGUGUUGCCCAGGCUAUUCACAGCUGCCAUCAU
rnacentral:lncRNA from 1 species